ensembl:ncRNA Y39G10AR.30 ncRNA
UCCAAUAAUUUAUCGAAAAAACACCAAGCACACUUUCAACAAAAAGAAAAAUAAUCAAUGAAACUGGAAGUGGAAUAGUAGGAAACAGGAGGAGGACAGAAAAAAGAACCAAAACAGGGAUCCGACAAAAUUUUUUGGACUAAUAGAGAGACAAAAACGGAGAGAAA